rnacentral:rRNA from 1 species
UCGCUACUACCGAUUGAAUGGCUUAGUGAGCCCCAUGGACUGGUGCGAUUGCUUGGGUUUCCUUGCUCUCGUGUCGGGAAGUAGUGCAAACUUGAUCAUUUAGAGGAAGUAA